GUCUGUUUAAUCUAUCUAUCUGUCUGUCUGUUUCCAUCUUUCUGUCUGUCUGUCUGUCUGUCUAUCUAUUCAUCUGUCUAUCUAUAUCCAUAUGUCUGUCUGUCUGUCUGUCUGUCUGUCUGUCUGUCUAUAUAUUUGUCUAUCUAUAUCCAUCUGUUUAUCUGUCUGUCUGUCUGUCUGUCUGUCUGUCUAUAUCGAUCUGUCUGUCUGUCUAUCUGUCUUUCUGUCCAUCCAUCCAUCUGUCUGUGUAUAUCCGUCUGUCUAUCUAUCUGUCUGUCUGUCUGUCUAUAUCCAUCUGUCUAUCUAUUCAUCUGUCUAUCUAUAUCCCUCUAUCUAUCUAUCUGUCUGUCUGUCUGUCUAUAUCCAUCUGUCUGUCUGUCCAUCUAUUCAUCUGUCUAUCUAUAUCCGUCUGUCUAUCUAUCUAUAUAUCUGUCUGUCUGUCUAUCUGUCUGUCUGUCUGUUUGUCUGAGCUAAAAUCUGCAGGACGGUAGCCCAACCAGGAACAGGGUUGGGCACCCCUGCGCUACAGGAUCGACAGUAGGUAACCACAGCUGUUGGAGCCUCUGGUGCAACAAUUAUGAACGGUAUGUGGAAAAUCCAUCUAUCUGUCUUUCCUUUUGUCUAUCCGUCCGUCUAUCUAUCUCUCUACCUAUCUCUCUACCUAUUUCUCUAUCUAUCUGUCUGUCUGUCUGUCUGUCUUUCUAUCUCUUUCUCUGUCUCUCUGUCUGUCUGUCUGUCUUUCCGUCUGUCUGUCUGUCUGUCUGUCUGUCUGUCUAAACCAGUAUUCAAACCAGUCAGAGACAGCGAUGUGAGGACAUCAACAGAAAAUAAAGUAAGAUUAAUAAUAUUAUGUUUAAUAAUAUAUUAUUAUUAUAUUAUAUUAUUUAUCUUUGUGCAAUUUGACUUGAAUUACAUUAUUGAAUGUAUCUAAUUUGGUAAGUCUUGUUAAUAGUGUAAAAGUAAAGCGCUCUCAAUGCGAAUCAAACAACUGCUCGACUAAGGAGAUGAAGAGAAAAGGGCAGCUGCACAAUCCUAAAAAUGUGUGGCUUGCAAGACAUUACUAGAGCUAGCCGGUGUGGUCGCAGGACGGAGUGACCAAAGGAGGAAGAGGUUGUGUUUUCAGCUCUUGGAGUCAAACCCAUUGUACUGGCUGUGGACAAAGUGGGUUUCUGAAGGGAAUCACCACUAACAUGGUGUCAGACGAAGAAGACAAUGCUGUUGAUGGAGUGCCGGGUGGAUUGUGAGACCUUCAUCGUUCUGCAGCCAGGCGCUCAGCAAUCUGUGUGCUAAGCUGCAGGUGUGACUGUGUGUGUUUGAAGUAUGCAGCGCUUGCAUCACAGUCUGCAAUGAAUUGCUGUCUAACAGAAUGCCACCGCUUACCUACGACCCCGAGGCAGCAAAAUAAACACAUUUGAUGCCAAAUGUGAUCCCAAGAACACAAUCUCUAGCUAUUUUUUACUUUUUGUGUGUUUAUUUUUCCUAUGCUUUAUUAAUAAAACUUAC